CUGUGGCCGGCCAGCCACGCAGCGGAGUCGAGCUCCGCUAGGUCAACCAAUCGCAAAGCUCCCGGCGGUCCGCGCCCUGCCUCCCUGCGGGGCCAGGGCCGCGGAAUUCCUCGGGAGGUGGGAGGCGACGGGCCAUGAUGGAGGCUUUCUCUGAAUGUGACUGUAGAGCAGUGGAUGCUGCCUUGCCAGAGCAUUCUGGUGCUCAGUCAUUGCUCAAGAGGCCUGCAGGUGAGAAUGAGGUCUGUCUCACCACUGCAAGGCCCAUUCCACCUGCCAGGCCAGGGCUGCCUCUCUGCUCUUAUUGGGUCCUAGGAUAAGCCAGGACAGAGGGACCGCACUCCUGAUUCGCACCCUUCACCAGUGACUAAGGACCAAGAUUUUCACUUUCCUGUGCAAGAGCCAACAGCAAGUCAAGCAGCGUGGACAUAAAGUCAACACUUUGAAAAGGCAAAACCAAGAUCGAGCCCCAGAAAGAGAGCCCUGAUCAACCUAUGCCUAAAGCCACCCCAUUUCCACACCUUCGUUGUUCCGAGGGAUAAUAAACUUCUUUAUAUUUAAAAACAAAA